GACUGAGGAUCCGUCCAAGCAGGAUAUACAAGUUAGAAUUCAGUUUUUAACUGUUGAGGGGUGCGGGCCGGUGAUGCUGGUGGGUGUCCCUCGUGCUGAACGAACACCACAUGCUCAGCUUGCAGCAUUUGAUGCGCUGCUGCGGUCAGGACGAUGCAGUUCCCGCGGUGCAUGAUGAUGAAACAUCACUAUGCUACACAGGAAUUGUUCGCCCUCAUUGCAGUGGCGCAUCAAAUGCUGCAAGCUCAGCUCCAUUCGCUCAGCAUGAGGGGCACCCAUCGGCACCACUGGCUUGCAUCCCUCAGCCGUUAAAACUGAAUUAUAUAGCUUGUACAUCCUGCUUGGACCGAUUUUCAAUCAUACAAGCCAUCUUCAACGUUACGUCACGCGUUCAAAAGUGACGCCAGUGCACAAUUUAUGAACGCUGCGUAUGCGCAACACACACAGCUUCACUUUUUAACGUUCGCCUUCCAAAGCUGAAAUGUCAACUCAUCGCGUGGAGCGUUUUAAACGGGUUUCAUUUUUCAAACACGCCUUAUAUAAUAAGGAAAGUUUCCAUGAUGCAAACUAAUAUAAUUUCUAUCACCGAAUAUCAAAAUACAGUAGUACAACACAUAUUUUUCUAUUCUUUUUCAACGUUUCUAAAGAUAAAACUGUGAGCUUAAUCAUAAAUAAUUAUUGCUGUUAAAUUUUUGAUGUCUAAAUUCCGACAUGAAAAAAAUUCUAAACAAAAUUACAAAUACUUUUAUU
rnacentral:lncRNA from 1 species